UAAGAUCUGGGAUCAUUCUCGUUUUUAACAAAUUUCGUUUUUCUUUGUUUUCGAUUUUAGACGGUGGUGUUUAGACGGUGGUGGUGGUCGUGGCAGUGAGGUGGUGGUGGUCGUGGCAGUGAGGUGCUGCUGCUGGUGGUUGGUCAAUGGGAUGGGUGGGAGUAGUUGUGCUAAUUACCUUACUUAAUUUUGUUAAUAUAUUUUCUCUUUCCUGCUUAAUUUUUCUGCUUUAUGCUUUUAUCAAUAUAAUACAUUAUUCCUAGUUUUCUCCCCAAACAGUAAAUGCCCUGAAAAUUAUGGAACGGAGGGAGUAUUAUCUGUUAAUGUGUUGUGGAUUGACUAUGUUUUCCAAUCACUUAAUUCUUAUUCUAGAUAGUUGUGUAAACCUACUAGAGGUAGUUUCAAGAAGAGUGUUAUUCGAUGUUGUAGUACAGCCCUGCUAUAUCAGAUUUAGAGCUAAAGAAAUUAAGCGAAGUGGAACCAGACUGCUGUAUGCAGCCCUGAUAUUUUAGUUCAGAAUGUUAAACACGAUGUAUAUGCUAGAAUUAGCUCUAUAAUGCCUAAAAUUCCAGUUGCAGAGAUAAGGACUGGUUUAAUUGUACUCUGGCUUAGCUGAUUGUAUGUGAGUCUAUUGUCUCUUGGUCUUUGUUGUUGUUUUGCAGGUGUUUCUACAAGUUAUUAGGGCUUUGAUGGUACCCUUUCUAGAAUUCUGAAUAUAUGUUGCUUAAUGAUGCAUUUGCAACUCUAUGGUUUUGUACAAGGUAACUUUUAAGUAUUGAAUUACCUAAUAGACAAUUACUUAGUAAAAUAACAUCAAGCAGGGGCCAAUUACCUAAUUAAGCAUUACCAUAGAAUUAAGCAUUAGCCAACACUAGUUAUUUGAAAAUAGCUAUAGUUCUAAUAAAUGAGGAUCAAAUUUAUUGAUAUAUGUAUUGGUCAUGACAAUAAAACUGAAUGUGAUAUCCUUGAAGCAGACUAUGCAAAGAAGAUGGAAGAGCUCGAGAAAUCAAAGGAAAGUUUGGUUGAGGAGGUCUUGAAGAAGCUCAUAGCGAAGCUACCAAGUGCCAACCGACGUUGUCCAAGAUUUCUUAGCUUAGGAGGACAUAGUACAAGGUUUACAAGAUGAAUCACAGAACCUGGGUAUGGUGUAUAUAUAUACUGUGGACCAUCCUUGUUUUGGUCUCUCUGAUGGACUGCAUGGGUAUAUUUCAAAAUUUGAUGAUUUGGUUGACAAUGUGAUUGAACAAUAUACAAAAAUUAAAGGUUACAAAGCUUUUCAAAGUCCGAAUUGGAAGCAUUUUGAUAUUUAUAUAUUUCUCGUUGAAUCAAGAAUGAAGAAAUGGCUUCUAUUUUGUGUUAAACAUUAUUUUGGGUUUAAAAACUUUUUAGCUAGCAAACUGGCUAGAUAA